AUUGAACGCUGGCGGAAUGCUUUACACAUGCAAGUCGAACGGCAGCACGGGGCAACCUGGUGGCGAGUGGCGAACGGGUGAGUAAUACAUCGGAACGUGCCCAAUCGUGGGGGAUAACGUAGCGAAAGUUACGCUAAUACCGCAUACGAUCUACGGAUGAAAGCGGGGGAUCGCAAGACCUCGCGCGAAUGGAGCGGCCGAUGUCAGAUUAGGUAGUUGGUGGGGUAAAGGCUCACCAAGCCAACGAUCUGUAGCUGGUCUGAGAGGACGACCAGCCACACUGGAACUGAGACACGGUCCAGACUCCUACGGGAGGCAGCAGUGGGGAAUUUUUGGACAAUGGGCGCAAGCCUGAUCCAGCCAUUCCGCGUGCAGGAUGAAGGCC
rnacentral:rRNA from 1 species